AGCUUCGUGCGAGACAUUUAAGACAGUGCUCUAAGCGCUUUAAAUAUGUUAGGAAGAAGAUGUGUACAAAGUAAAUGGCCAACUUUCCACCUUCGAAGGCCGAAGUAGAAGAACAAACAAAACUGGAGGCAGGAAGAAAGACAGAAAUCAACAGAAACAAUAGAAAAUGGAACAGAAAAAUCCCAGGAGAAUAAAAACAGAACGAAGCUGGGCGUGGUCGCAUGCACCUGUAAUCCCAGGACCCAGGAGGCUGAACCAGAAUAAUUGUCACAAGUCAGAGGCAAGCUUGGGCUCAUGCACAGAGCCAAGGAAAGAAUGGAGCCUCCCACUAACCCCAGGCCUCCCAACCCAGGGGGUACAGGCACAUCAAAAGGAGGCCACCUUCCCACCCCCACCCGCCCCAGGAAACUACAGCUUGGAUUACAUCAUCCUGCAGCACAUCGCUAAGCAACUGUGGGCUCAACAUCUGUUUCCAUGGAGAUGUCACAUCACCACCAUUGGCCAGGCAGGGCGGAGGAACACAUAGGAAGGAAUGAAUAAGCCGAGCUGUGUCAGAGAAUGACAAAAUCCUUGUCAUCCUUGUGGGAAUGAGGAAAAGUCUAUCGUGAGAGUGAAAAGGAGGUAAGUGUGAAGGACGGUGCAAUGAGGAAGGCAUCGGAUGGGCAAGCCUGUACCUCCCUGCCUAGGGCUCGCCCUGCUCAAAGGAAAAGCAGCAUAGACCGCUGAUCCCUUCCCCAAGCUUCAGUGGUCCUUGUUCCUCUAUCUCCAUCCCUACUUGGGUCUGCCUUGUACAGUUCUUUCCAGAGAUGGUGGCUCCCAUUCAUGGCUGACAGACCCUGUUAUCAUAGGCCAUAGCCAGGCAGUGAGGAUGCUGGGAGGAUGAAAAGGAAUAGCUGAGCUAUGUGACUGGCCAUAUGCUACCCAUGUGUUGCAAGCCAUCCCCCAUCAGGCUUCAGAUUCAGCCUGUGGAAUGGGAGCUCCUCAUCUUCAGCCAAGACAUGGAAACUCAGACAGGGAGACACAGCUUUCCCAAUACUGAUAAGAAUCUGAAACACUUAGAGAUCACACAGCGCCAGCCCUCUCAAAUGCCGAUUCAUUUCAUCUCCACAUGCUGCCUGUCGGUGACUAGCUGUUAAGGUCAAGAGAUGAAUCUGGACUUCCCUUUCCACUGCACCACACUGCCUCCCUGUCCUCACUGGGCCACAUAGCACCUCCAGAAGCCAAGCUCAGAGCCACAAAGAUGAGUUCAUGACAGAGUGAGUAUUGAAACAAGAUGCCCAGGGGGAUUUUUCCUUGUGUCCUGAAUAUGCUACGGGUCAUUCAGAAGUCCACAUGUACCAGCUCCUGUCUACAGACUCAGAGAGAGAACUGCUCUCACCGAUAGCUCACUGCUCACCUGGCUAUCCAGGAAGUCAUGGAUUUAGGGUUUCCUGGAGAGAUGCAGCUCAUUGAUGGCACAGAGUGGGACCACUCUUAGAGCCUAGUUAGGGGACUAUCGGGGACUCCUUGUUCUUGGAGGAUCUGUAACAGGGAAGCUAGCAACCUGAUUCCAGGAUACACCGAUGUUCGCUCAGCCAGAUGCAAAGCCCUCUCGAGGCUGCUGCUGGAAAGGUGGAGAGGAACCCUAGGCACGGGACCUCAGAACAGAUACGCGAUUCAGGUCUUCCCCAGGACGGGAAAGGAAAGGACACAGAACAAGAUACCUUACUGGGGAGGUUCCCUGGUCCUUAGAAAUCAGUGCCAACUUCUGAGAGAGGCCUGGUGGCACGGCCUUUGCUCCGGGAGCAGAACCAGUGAAAAUGUCUCUUAGAGGGAGGUGAGGAACACAACCCUGCCCACACUGACACUCUGAGAAGGCCCAUGAUGUGUGAAGAGAGCACUGAGGUCGGGGUGAACAGGAGUCAUGUGACAAGUGUUGGCAUGCCCAGCUCUGAGUGGGGCUGAAGUCACACACACAUACACACACACACACACACACACACACACACACACACACACACACUGGGGUUGUAGGAUAGGGAGAGCUUGGACUCAGCUACACAGUACCCAUGGAAGGAUGAGCAGAAAACCUCUUGCACCAACUGUAUGGAGAUACCAUAUGACUAACACCACCAACAAUGGCCAGAAACACUCCGACCCAGAAGGAGGCCAGGGACAACCUUGUAUCCACAUCCAGAAAGGGUGAACUCAGAAGUUCCUUACACUCCCAAGACCUUGGUGAAUAGGGUAGAGAAUAAGCCAUAUACGGUGAGAACUUGACGAACAGAUGGAAAGCUGAGGUGCAGACAGAGUGACAGGUGAGAUGUGCCUGAGCCCAUUCCUCCCGACCUCUUCAACAAGCCUCGUCCCAGACAGGUCUGCUGCACAGGAAGAGGAAAUGAGAUUCCUUGGGAUUCAGCCUUGAUGGGAAGCUUGAAAUGAACAGAAUUGAGUCUAAAAUAGUGGACAGAGUUUUGCAAGGGAAAGGCAGAAAAUAAUGACAGCUGGCCAAGAGGACAUGGAGAAGCACUGUAGAAAGGUUUUCAUAUCUUAAAAAUACACACAUACGGGGUUGGGGAUUUGGCUCAGUGGUAAAGUGCUUGCCUAGCAAGCACAAGGCCCUGGGUUCGGUCCCCAGCUCCGAAAAAAGAAAAGAAAAAAAAAAUACACACACACACACACACACAGACAGACAGACAGACAGACAGACAGACAUGCAAGAAAGUGCUCAUACACACAAAAUUUUUAAAAAUCUAAAAGCACUUUUAAAUUAUUUCCUUUCUCAGUGUUGUAUAAAUAUAUUUCUUGACACAUUUACAAGUCCUGUUUUUCACAAAUGGAAUUUUAAAUCAUCUGGAAAUUACCUUUUAGUGGGGCAGAACAUGAAUUUUAUUUUUCUCCAUUCAGAUAACCAAAUAUAUGUAUCCUGUCACACUAACUUGCAGUGAUACUUCUGAACUCUGUCAUCCUGUGCCAUCAGCACACUUCUGUGAUCACUGUGCCUUUGCAAGUCUGUGUGUCUGGCUCUGCCCACCCCCCUUCUAAGCACCUGGGCAGUCGUUCCUCCUGUGUUCAUCCGAUUGAAUCACACCAUUUGGUGUUUCAGGUUCCUUAAAAUGAAGGUGGUUUUAAUCAAGACUUCAUACAGACUAAUUAGGAGAUCGUUAACACUGUUAGUUGUUGCAUUUUCCAACCUGUGACACAUUUCUUCACAUCUUCUUUGAUGCCUUUCAAUAACUUAAUUUCUUUUGAAUUUGAUGAUGGGAGAUCAAGUCUUGAAUAAGCCAGGUAGUUACUGUAACACUAGUCUAUGUCACUAGCUCAUCAAAACAAUUUGUUGUUGCUGUUGUUUGGCUUGGUUUGGUGUGAAACAGUUUGGUUCUGUUUAUUUGUUUGUUUGUUUGUUUGUUUGUUUGUGAAAGGGUCUCAUGUAACCCAGGCUGCCUUCAAACUUAUCAUGUAGCCAAACAUGACCUUCAACUGCGGAUUCUCCUGUGCCCAUGUCUUAGGGUUUGAUUGUUGAAGAAACAUCAUGAUUAAGGUAACGCUAAUAAAUAACAAUUAACUUGGGGCUGGCUUACAGUUUCAAAGUUCAUUAUUAUCAUGGCAGGCAGCAUGCAAGCAAACAUGAUGCUGAAGACAGCCCAAGAGUUCUACAUCUUGAUCUGCCGGCAGCAAGGAGAAACUGUGUCACACUGGGCAUAGCUUGAGCAUAUAUAACCUCAAAGCCCGCCUCCACAGUGACACACUUCCUCCAACAUGGCCACACCUCCUAAUAGUGCCACUUCCUGUGGCCAAGCAUUCAAACACACGACUCUAUGGGGGCCUUUUCUAUUAAAACCAUCGCUUUCCACCACCCAGGUACUGCAACUACAGGUUCACACAACCAUGCUAGCCUACUAAAGUCUACUAUUCUACAUGAGUGUAUGUUUUUACCUUGACAAAUUAAUUAGUAAAAUUAAAUACUUCGUUUUGGCAGAUGUGAUGAUAUAGCACUCAGAAGGUGAGACAGGGGGAUUACUUGGAGUCCUAGGCCAGCUUGGGCUAUAUAGUGAGAACCUGGUCAGCCAGAGCAAGAUCCCAUCCCCCACUCCCACCCCUGCCUCAAAUCCCAUUGUGCAUACAGUUUGUAAGAGACAGUAGUUCACUAUCCAGCACAAGUCUUAUAGCUUUGGUUGUGAGCCUAGUCUGUGACAGCUGAGUCAUCUCUCCAGCCCCCAGCAAAAGUCUUUCAGCUCACUUCUACCCUGUGAAAUAUAUAGAAAUGUCCACUCAGCUUGGGGAAGAGAUCUCGGCUUUCUUGCUGUCUAGGUGUGGCUGUGGUCCCAGAGCAUGUGACCAUGUCCAUCCCUGUCUGCCAGCUGAAUAUAAGGGACUCUAAGGUGCUUAAGGGAAGGGGAAACCACGAGCUGGGAGAAGAGGAGCCUAAGUGUCUGACUCAGCAACAAGUGGAAGCACGUCGAACUAACACAUGCACAAGAACGCAAUGCCCCUGGCUGGGGUUUGAGGCACUGACUACUGUGACACGAAAAAUGAAUACUCGGUGAGGUAGAGCUCCUUCUAAACAAUAUUUACCUUCACUCAGUGUUGCUGGGGAUUAGCAUAAUAUGUAAAUGUUGUACAUACAUAUGUAUUUUUUGCUUCUGAACUAAGAAAACUCCUUUAGUGUCUCAUAACGCUUAUUGUUAGAUUCUAUCAAAGUUGCUUUAUUUACAAAAUGGAGGACCCUUCUUCCUCCCAGCCACUCUUGAUCCUUAGGCUUAUUUUUCUUGCCUCGAAUCUUGGUCAGGACCUGCUGUUCUCACCUCACCUCUGAGUAUAAUGGGAAUCCAUCUACUUAUUCUUCGUUAAGUCUGAAGUUGGCUAGAACUGGGCAUGGAUCCCAUUUGCUAGUUUGAGGAAGCUCCCUUCUCCUUCUAGGUAGCCAAUAAUUUUGGUUGUGAAUGGGGAUGAAUCAUAGCGAGUUAAUUUUCUGCCUCCUGUUGAAAUAACUUUCCUUUGCGUUUGCUCAUGCAGGGAGUCUCGUUGAGCCUCCAGUAGUAACUCAGCCUUACAGCCCUGGGCUGCACUUGGUUUCGAGAGACUUCUUUUUGCACGUGGAUAAAUUUCUUUAUCUAAUAUCUUGUUCAAGAUUUUUAUGCUCUUUAUUUUUAAUCUCAUUUUGCUAUUUUUGAGACAACGUCUCACCCUGCAGCCUUGUGUGACAAUUUGCCAUGUAGACCAGACGGGCCUUGAACUCACAGAAAUCCACCUCACUCUACUUCCCAAGGGCUGGGAUUAAAGGUGCACGACUUCACACCAGAUGAGUAUUCAUAGUUUUAAAAGAUAUAUCUGCUUCUGAAAUUCUUAAGGGGAAGGAUGAAGUUUGAAUAACAUAUUAAGCCAUUAGAUGACAAUUCUUUCUUAGGUUUACUUACAUUUACUAGGUUUAUUCAAAUACAUAUCUGAGUUUUGUAUUUAUCCUUGAACAAUAUUUUAUUUCUAUUGUCUCUGGAUUGUCUAUUUUUUUUUUUGGUUCUUUUUUUCGGAGCUGGGGACCGAACCCAGGGCCUUGCGCUUCCUAGGCAAGCGCUCUACCACUGAGCUAAAUCCCCAACCCCUGGAUUGUCUAUUUUAUCUUUAAUUUUUAACUUAUUCAUAUGAAUUUGUUCAUAUUCCUUUUCUUAAUCUCUGUAUUUUUUCCUAAUAUUAUUUAUGGCUAUUCUUUUUCUUGAUGAAUCUUGGUAGUGAUUUUCCCAUUUCACUCAUCUCCUGAGAGAACCAGAUGUGACAUAAUUGACCUUUUUUCCCCUGCUGUGUGCUAGUGUUUACAUGUAUCCACUCCUGUUCUCUGUGCUAUUCUCUCUUUAUCUUUACUCUCUUUUAGGAUGUACUCUAGUCUCCCUUUUCUAUUUUGUAAGUUAGAUAUUAGUUCAUUCAUUUUUAUCCCCCCCAGUUUUCUAACACAGAUAGUACAUUUCCGCCUUAGCAAUAUCCCACACGUUAGGGAAAUACUUUCACAAUGAGCAGAGCACAUGACACACAUGUAUGAAAAUGUCAGGAUGAAGCCCAUUAAUCUGCAGACUAAUUAAAAUAAUCCUGCUGGUUCAGUUAUGGAAUGUCUAGCUUGGAGGCUGAGUAGGUGGUGCUGUGGCUGUUUCCCACUUGCCUACUAUAUGCAAGCAUUGGUCUGAUUUCCAUCACUAAAAGUAAGCUGGCAUUUUCCAGAAGUUUCUACAAAUGUAAUCAUGAAAGGCAUAUUUACAUCACUGAGCUUUUUCCACCUAGACAAGUUAUUUUGAGAUACAUACAUGUCCACUCCUUACUACUAUGGUGUAGAGCUCCAUUGUAUGAACUAUGCUUCAACCUGCUUGUUCAUUCUCCCAUUGAUGGACAUUUAUUGCAAAUAAAACUGGUAAACAUGUUUGUGUACCUGUCUGUCAUAGACAUGCUGUCCUUUGUUUUAGUAAAUGUCUUGGGUUAGAAUGGCUCAGUCGUGACUGCAUGCUGAACACUUUAGGAAAUGGUCAAAGUAAUUCCCAAAGCAGUUGCAUUAUUUUAUAUUUCCAUGGUCUAUAAGACUUCCAUUUUAUUUCAUGUUUGCUACCACAGCUCAGAAUCAGCAGCAUGCUAGCCUUUCUAAUAGAUGCAUAGUGGCAUUUUGUUAAAAUUUUCUUUGACAGGUGCCUAAUGAUUAUUAUAAUGAAUUUCUUUUCUUGUGCUUGCCUCCCACUUUAGUACGAUGUCUGGUUAAGUCUCUUGAUCAUUGGCAUUUACAAUUUGUUGUUAUUAUUGAUGUUUGUUCUUUUUUAAUUAUUUAUUUUAUGUAUAUGACUGUACUGUAGCUGUCCAGACACACCAGAAGACGGGAUCGGAUCCCAGAAGAGGGGGCCAUCAGAUCUCAUUACAGAGGUUGUGAGCCUCCAUGUGGUUGCUGGGAAUUGAACUCAGGACUUCUGGAAGAGCAACCAGUGUGCUUCACCACUGAGCCAUCUCUCCAGCCUGAUGUUUGUUCUCUUACUGUUGUGUUUCACAUAGUUUCUGUAUUCUGUAUACAAGUGCUUUGUCAUAGUUCUGCUUUGCACAUGUUCUAUCUGGGUCUUGGGCUUAUGAUCUCAGUAAUGGAUGGUGUCUUUUGAAAAGCAGAGGAGUUAAUUUUAAUAUAGUCAAACAUAUUAAUGAUUAAUUUUACGGAUCGUGCUUUUAAUAUCGUGUAUUUUUUUUUGUUCUUUUUUUCGGAGCUGGGGACCGAACCCAGGGCCUUGCGCUUCCUAGGUAAGCGCUCUACCACUGAGCUAAAUCCCCAGCCCCAAUAUCGUGUAUUUUAAGGUCUUUGUUUGAUCCAACUAAACUAGGAUUUUCUGCUGCCUGUUUUCUCUCCUAGAUGUUUGAUAAUUUUAAGAUCAAUGAUUGAAUGUGAGCUGUUGUAUGAGGUUAAGACCUAUGAUAUGUUGUGAUAUGGGGUAUGGGUUGGUGUUCGUUCAAUGCAUGAGCAUGUGCAAGUACCAUUGAAAAGCAGAGAAUUUGCUCUAUUUAAUUCUGGAUAGUUUCACUUGCUAACUCUUGAAGGAUUCACUCACACACUGUUUCCCAAUACCUGCCCUCAGAAGCUCCUGAGAAAGACUGAUGAAGGCAGAUGGUGGUGCCCUACAAGGAUGUCAACAGACUUGAAAGUGAAAUAGUGCACAGACACUUGAGACCAGAUGCAAAACACUACUUCCCAGACUCCUCUCAUACAAGAAAGUCAGAACUAAAAUACUGAAGGACUGGGAACCAAAGGUUUGGGCGAAAUCCCAGUGCCCUGCCAACGUUUGACAGUGGAUAAGGAUGGGGACAGUUUUGCUUCCUGCCUGCCACAAAUGACUGGCAAGGAACCCACUCAGUAACACAAAGAAAUGCCCUUUAUUUCUAAGUGUCCCACUCGCGACUUCUCGCCGGCAAGAAACACGCAGGUACAUAGAAAUCCUUACUGUGACCAAACUUUAUUAUAAUCCUAAAGAGGAAGCCUCAGCGCGCCAACAUGGUGCGCUUAUAUACACCCUAGCGCGGCGCAUCCACACCUGAUUGGUUGUUUACCCAUGAUCUCAUCAGGCACGCCCCAGAGUGGGCAAAGACCUGGCAGGAAGGCACUCUUGCACAUGCGCACAGUUAACUUCCUGAAAGGAAGUCGACUGACACGGCGAAGGCUGGCGCCAUCUUGUAAUGGUGGAGGCUCUCCUGGCCUUCCACAUGGGGUGCAGUGGAAGCCACCGCCAUCUAGCGGUGGCAAAUGUUAUAGCGGCCCUCUACAUCUCACCCUUAUAAUUUAUAUUAUUUUAUAGCAGUCAUGAUCACCCUAUCACGUGCAAUGAGGAAACCUCAGCGAUGUGGAAGGGCUGAUCAAAGGAUCAAUGAGUCUCUCUCAUCCCAGUGCAAUGGAUCCACAGAUCCAUGGGGUGUAAGAGCAGAGAACUCAGAUACAGAAAGAGAACCUCUCUCCUCCCAGUGCAAUGGAUCCACAGAUCCAUGGGGUGCAGGAGCAGAGAACUCAGAUACCGACUAAUUCCUGAGCAAGAUAACCAAAAUCCAGGGGAGGCCCCUUGUACAAUGGCCACAAGUGCUUGAGUGAAUAACGGCCUUGUCACGUUUCUGUUGAGAUCUGAGUUUGCAAACCAACCAUAGUAUGAACACUGAUCCACAGCAUAGGGCUGCACCAGACAGAGCCACUCCUGAUAAGUAGUGGGCACCUCAUUUGGUCCUCCUCAGCUGUUAGCACCAAGGGCCGUAGUCAAGCCGCUCCUAUAAUAAAAUUUAGAAUUCCCAAUUGUUAGUAACUACUCCAGAAAGUUCACCCACUGUGUUUGUCUAACAAUAGAUUGGGGGAGGAUAACUCCAGACACUGCAGACACAAUGUCUGCAGCAGUAAUGGCUGCUACAAUAGCAGCGAAAGUGUUAAGGUCUUUUCCAGGACAGUUCAGGAUCAGUCAUUUUUCUCUGGAACAACCAGCAGACAAUGGAACCAUUUCUGAGAUCUGUAUAACCAGGACAGAGUUCCCCAGUCCACUGUAGCUUUACGCAGGUGGCUUUCUUGUGAAGCUACAGUCUGUAAAAUGACAACACCAGUUACCAGUUAAGGCAGCAAGAGUCACUAGGGAAAUGAAGGGGGCAGCAACGGCUGGAGUCCAGUCUUCUCCAGCAAGCAGCAGUGUACAGAGGGUCAGAGAGCAGGCCAUAGUGGGACGGGACACACGCAGCAGUAACACUGACUGCAGCAACGGCAAAAUCUCUGUGAUGACAAAGGAUGAAGGGGAAUCUUUCAUCUUCCUCUCAGGGCAGAGGGAUGACUCCAGGGACCUGAGCCACGAGAGCUGAAUCUUCAUGUAACCAGGAUCAGCAAGUCUCAGCAAACACUCAGGCAGCUGGCACACUCUUGUAGCAUCCUGUAGAAAAAACACAAACAUUCCCUCUUCCCCAUAUAAAAUAUCUGGACAGGAUCAUGUCAAUACGUGGAUCUCUCUAUUUUGCCUAGGCAGAAGUAUGCCUAGUUGUAGGGUGCCAUAAACUUUGGCAUCCAAAAUUUUAAAAUUGAAAUAAAAGGAGCAUUACUUAGCAUACAGGGAUAACUCCCCCUAUUUAUUUAUUAAGAUAUAGUAAAGAUAUUAUUUAUUAAGGUAAGUCCUCGAGGAUUAAAUUGAGGACACUGAGCACUUGUAUUUAUAAAUUGACUUGUAUACCAAAUUAUUGUCUCCAGCAUUAUUGUUUUGGAUAUAUAAAGAAUGAGAUUUUUUGACUAAUUGUUCCUAUGUAAGGCCUAUAAUCUGUCUGGUAUCAUUGUCCUCCCUUGUUAAAGAGCCCAGGCAAUCCAGUUUGAGUUCUUAAAUGUCCUAUAAAGGAACAGUACUUAGUGCUCUUAACCACUAAGCCAUUUCUCUAGCACCUCACAAACUUUAUUUACCUAAACAUAAGCAUUAAUUAGAAAUGUCAAAUCUUGUAAAUAUUGUCCAAUUUCAGUCUUACUAGAAAUCCCUGGCAGGGUGGGGCUGGGAAUUGAAAACAAGCAAAUGGAGUCUUCCUCUUUUCGUGAGGGUGUGUUAUCAACUCCAUUACCAUUUUUAAAGAGCUGGGUCUAUGGUUUUGUUUAGUUGUCUGAGCCAGAGUACUGAAAGGACAGUGAGUUGUCAGACAAUUUAUACUGAAAUCACUCACUGAUUUCAUGUAGAAAACUUGUCUCUAAUAAAGCAUUAAGUAAUUGAAAUCAAUUGUAAACCACAAGCCACACAUUGGCUAUCAGUAUGUGAAUUGAAAGUUUGAUUUAAAAACAGUGGCUAAACUACGGAAUUUAAUAAUCUGUGUUGAAGCAAUAGAAACUCAAGAGAAUAAACAAGUGAUCCAAUCAUACAUGUAGCCUUUUCAUUAGAUGAACCACCUAUAAAUACAGUAAGCGCAUUUCCUAUGGGUUGUAUGCACAAAUAUACAGGAAGUACAAAAGCAUGUAAAGAGUAAAAUUAUCAAUUUUGUCUGAAAAAUUUGUAUAUGUAAUAGGCCAAAUAUCAGUAUUUUGUAAUAACCAAUUAACUGUUGUUUGGAAUAAGAUAUGUUUUACCAGGUUUCUUUUCAAAAUACUUCUAUGACUCCAGUCCACAACUCUGUACUAACACAGCUGAAGCUUUAUCUCCAAUGUGCAUAACAAAGACCUAAGUCCUCUGGUAGGGUGAGGUACUUAGCCAAUUAACAUAUCCUUAGACACUUAAAAUUAGCUUCAAAUAUUCUUAUCUGGAGUAGUGUAACAGCUACUCCCCAAAUAUUAAAGCUCAUUUUGAGAGCAAAGGUUUGUAGUAACAAUUUCCAUAUACAUUGAAAGAUUUAAGUUCUAACUUCUUACACUGAAGAAGCUACAAAAUUACACAAUAUAAGGCUAUUAGCCAUUUUUAAUGAUAUCACUCUAUGGUCUCUCUAAAACUGUAAGCAAGCUCAUGAAAUGAAAACUCAAAAUCAAUCCUCUAAAUCUAUCUUGAAAUGGCAGUUGGAGUAAGUAAACUGGCUGUAAUGUUCUCACAAGUUCCAAAACCUCAUCAAUCCUUCGUAAAUCUUGUAACAAUCUCUACCUGUUUGAUUUUUCCUUAAUUGAAAAUAAGUUUGAGUUAGUCAAUGUAACACUGGCAAUCCUUAAUCACAAUCUUUAAGUUCUCUUUGUAACACCAGAACACAGCCACAAGGUCACCUGAGUUCUGAGUACGUGACUAGGCAACUGUCCUUAGGGCAGUGGAAUUAGCAUCAAAAUGCAGAUACAAAGUUUGACUGCCAAUUCCUAUAUAUGAACGCACGAUGGUGUAGUCUCUAGUACCUCAACAAAGAGACUUUGUCCUAAAUUCUUUUAGAAGCCUGGUUCCUAGAAUAAGAAUUCCAUAAAAACAUUACCUCAAUUUAGACCUGUUUCCCUAGGUUGGCCCAUGUCACAUGUUAUCUAGAAUGACUCCAUCCAGAUUACCAGCUUUAUGUCAACUUUCUGUUACCAAUAUUAUACCCUUUUAACCGUAUCCAAUAACUUGAAAGCCAAUAGUCCAUAACCAAGGCAAGUAGAGCAUAUUUAUACAUUUAAAACCAAUGAGAAACAAAAUUGAAGUGGCUACACAUAUCUUUAAUAUUUAGACCAAACACCAUUUUUACCUUUUUAGCUAUGAUUUUAAGAGAAGCACCUUGUCACCUGUUGAGUCAAAUAAUAAGUCAGGGAUCUUUCUAAGAGAAACAGCUAUCAACUCUUGUAUCGAAGAAGCUGAGAAGCUGUCGGCGCCUUUAAGAUCAGCUCAUGUAGACGCUUAGCCUCUGGGCAGCUUCUCCAGCUAAUCUAGACACCUGGCACCAGGCACAGGGCUCCAAAGGCCUGAUUGAAACUGUUUUUUAUUCAUUUGUUCCUUUUUGAAACGAGUUAAAACCAAGUCAAGGUGUGAAUGACCGGCAGAUAAAGUUUUUACCAUUUUUUCUUUUGAACAUGAUACAUAAAACAUUUAAACAACGAGAAACAAAAACCAUAGACAUACACUGACAGACAUGGGGACAUCCUGGUGCACCAGAGACAAACAAUAGACAAAGAGGGAAAAAACCAGAUGGUGUUCAUGGUGACUAUCCACUCGAGUGGAGUCGAUAUGGGCGAUGGAUUGUUUCAAUUCCUGGACUAGUCCACCAACGUGUUGAAACCCAAUUCCUGUAAGAUACUGAGAUAUAUUAUCUGAGCAGCACGACUGACAUUCGCCAAUGGUAUGGAAGUGAAACACAGCCCUGAAUAUAUUUACUCACAACCCAAUUACAUUAACUCCAUCAAGCUGUGCACGGUCACUAAGAUGUCCUUUUGUUUGAUUCUCCUGAAUAAAUUUUCAAGCGGUCUGCUUCUAUCAAAUCUGAUCAGUAUGACUCUGUAAAGCUGUCGCGUCAGCGCACGGACGCCGCGGCGUCCUGAGAGCCGGCGCCGGAGCUUAAGCACACUUCUAACAGGCACAAAGACAAAAUUUUUCUCCCAAAAUGCUGUGUUCCUUUUAUCUCCUCCCUUCUCCUCACCCGGGGCGUUCUUUCCCCAACCUCUUGCUUCCGCAUUGGAAGGGCUUUUUUUCUUAGGUGCACCUUUUCCCUUUAAGCUCUUUAAUUCAUUAUCUAACCCUGUUUCUGACGUGCCGCCUCGCCCUUCCCCCAACGCUUUCCGCUUUGCUGUUACAGCUGGGCAGUUCUCACGCGACCUCUGACGCCGUUUGGUGGUAACUAGAAACUCAAAGGUCAAUAGAAACAACCCGAGGGCGGCCAGAGCAACCAUAAAGGUUCCUGCCACAUCCGGCAGAGGACUGAGCUGGAACAGAUCAAGGCUAAACAUAGUCUCUCAGAGUCUUACCCCCACUCACAGCUUCUGGACUUCUUCCGUGAAACGGAGCCUCCUCUUGGCACCGGCGAUGAUGCUUUUUUGUCCCGGGUUCUCGGCACCAAAUGUCCCACGCACGACUUCUCGCCGGCAAGAAACACGUGGGUACAUAGAAAUCCUUACUGUGACCAAACUUUAUUAUAAUCUUAAAGAGGAAGCCUCAGUGCGCCAACAUGGUGCGCUUACAUACACCCUAGCGCGGCGCAUCCACACCUGAUUGGUUGUUUACCCAUGAUCUCAUCAGGCACGCCCCAGAGUGGGCAAAGACCUGGCACGAAGGCACUCUUGCACAUGCGCACAGUUAACUUCCUGAAAGGGAGUCGGCUGGCGCAGCAAAGGCUGGCGCCAUCUUGUAAUGGCGGAGGCUAUCCUGGGCUUCCACGUGGGGCGCAGUGGAAGCCAGCGCCAUCUAGCGGUGGCGAAUGUUAUAGCGGCCCUCUACAUCUAAGGAUGGAAGGAAGGGGAGGAAGAAAGACUUUCCCAACUCAAGAAGCUCCAUGGGCAUGAUUCAAGAUGUGGAAACCGUGAAAGAGAAGAGCAGCAUAAAGGAGGCCGGGAACAGAGGUAGUGCCUCUGUGAAGCUACGACCAGACCAGAUAUGCUGAGAACCCCACCUCCUCUUAUGCAGCCUCACACUGAAAGUGAGCUGAGGAGGACCGGCCCUCUGUGCUGCAGACUAUCUAGUCAGCCUCCCAUGAUUAGCUGAUGCUUAUGUUCUUGGCUCCAACUCGGUUAUUUAUUACAAAACUUUACUCUUAAAUUAAGUUGCAGGGUUUUUUUUUUUACACUGUAACUAAUUUUGGUUACUGUUUGUUGUGUAGGAACUCAGAGUUCAGGGGCCACUUCAGGCCAAAUUCAGGUUAACAGAAUGCAAAGGAGAUUAACUUGUAAGGCAAGCUUGUGCCCUAGUUUUCUAACCCCCAGGUCAAAGCUCCUCCAAUGUACCUAGUAUUCUGCCUGUAGCCUCCUUGGCCAAUAACUGGGAAGUUUAAAUAGGGCUCAGGUCUACAGUUGGGGAAAGGGCAGAAAAGGGAGGCUCUGGAUGUAUUCAACCAGGAAAAUCACCCAUCAUUGGUGCAAGGGAUGAAAAGAGUCUUUUCACUAUGGAGAUCCUAACCUGCUCACCGUGACUACUUGGCACAUGCACAGUUCUAGCACACCCACAAUUCCAGCUUACCCACAAUUCUAGCACACCCCCAGUUCCUCUUACCCACAGUUCCGACUUACCCACAGUUCCGGCUUACCCACAGUUCCAGCUUACCCACAGUUCUGGGUUUCCAACAGUUCUAUCUCUAAUAAUCUCUGAUCUGUCCCAUAUCUGUUUCCAAUAAUCUGGAGUUCUCAUUCAGCACACACUCAAUUCUGCCACCACCCCUGUCCACCUCUAAGUGCUCCAUCCCAUCUGGCUACACUGCAGAUACUACUGAUCCAAAAUAUGACGUGGCACCCAAGAAAGGAGUUAGCCAGUGUCUCCAAACCUAAGCGUGAAUCAGAGAACUGGCACAUGGGAUACAAAACCAAGCUGUAUGGACAGGCACAAACUAUGUUUUCUGUGUUACCAAGUAGGUGAGAGAGGAGAAUGGGAGCUGGGGGUGGGGACUGUAGCUCAGUGGUAGAGCACAUGGCUAGCACUGUAUGAAGUCCUAGGUUCAAUCCCCAGCACUGCAUAAAAUGGGAACUCAGAAGAGACAAAAGAAUCUGAGGUUUAAGGUUAUCCUUGACUGCAUAGUAAGUUUGAAGACAGACUGGGCUACUUGAAAAAGUGUGUGUGUGGGUGGAUGGGGGGAACAGGGGCAAGGAGGAUGAUAAGGAAGUUUACCAUUCCAGUCCUCAGUCUCUGUCUUCAGGAAGCAAGAUCUAUUAUUCAUGCAUCACAUAUCUUAGUCUUCCAAAAUUAUUGUGCAUACAAAAUAGGAUAUGUAUAUGUUUGCCGAUCAUAUUAAACUUCAACCCCAAGGGGAAAGACUCAAUCACUUGCUUAUUCAAUUGUUCUUUCAGAUGGACUUGACACCAAGGAAAGGAUGGCACAGGCUAGCCCAGUGUCUACAACCAGAGCCUGGGGGCAGAUGCAUGUAGGUGACUCCUGACAAACACAUAAGUGAAGAUAUUAUAACCUAAGACCAGUUGAGGAAAUGCAGGUGACUGUCUGAAUUUUAACACCGCCUCUGUUAUUAUUAAGGGUGAGCUAUCAGCAAGCUUGACACCCAAGACCUGUGCCUGGACAUGGCCUUUGCGGGGGUUUCGAAGCUGCUUCUCAUUAAGUGCUGGAGCUGUGGUGUGACUCACAUUCCUCCACCAUCUGCGGAAGAGGCUCACAUGACUCAGCCUCCACCCAC